GGCGAUUGGUAGACUUGGAAUAAGAUCUGUGGAUUAGAUACUAUAUCACAUCAAACCUAAUUUUCUGACUUUGAUGAUUAUAUUAUGAUUAUGUAAGAGAAUGUCCUUGGUGUUAGGAAAUUUACACUUAAGUAUUCAGAAGUAAAUGGGUAAGAUAUCUGCAACUUACUCUCAAAUAGUUCAGGAAAAAAUAAAUGUGGAGAAGGAAAAAUGACGGAAGAGGGGAGAUAGAGAAAAAAAAUAAAUGUGGGAAAAGUGUUAAAAGUAAUGGUAAAGAAUACAGUACAAGGAUGUUACGUGAACUAUUUAGUAACUUUUCUGUAAGUUUCAAGCUGUUCCAAACUAGAAAGCUGAAGACCUGGCCCUCUGUCAUGAAUCCUUCUCUAGGAGCUGAACACCAAGGAGACAGGAAGCUUCCGCAGUGGGUCUUGCGCCUAAUCUGCCGAUCUCUCCUUCAUGAACAGCCUCCUGAGGUGCUUUUCUCUUCAUUUUGAGACUCUUCAUCAAAAUCACCCUGGAGCAGAGAAGGCUGAGAGCACAU
rnacentral:lncRNA from 1 species